GAUGAACGCUGACAGAAUGCUUAACACAUGCAAGUCUUUGGCGAAGCUGUGCUCGCCCAGCCUAGCCAAGGCGGAUGGGUGAGUAACGCGUAAGGAACUUGCCCUGCAGUCAGGGAUAACAGACGGAAACGACUGAUAAGACCUGGUAAAGUCAGGCGGACUCAUGUCCAGCCUGAUGAAAAGAGAUGCUGCAGGAGAGCCUUGCGUCCUAUUAGCUUGUUGGUGGGGUAACGGCCCACCAAGGCGAUGAUAGGUAGCCGGCCUGAGAGGGUGGACGGCCACAAGGGGACUGAGAUACGGCCCUUACUCCUACGGGAGGCAGCAGUGGGGAAUAUUGGACAAUGGGGGCAACCCUGAUCCAGCAAUUCUGUGUGCACGAUGAAGGUUUUCGGAUUGUAAAGUGCUUUCAGCAGGGAAGAAAAAAAUGACGGUACCUGCAGAAGAAGCGACGGCUAAAUACGUG
rnacentral:rRNA from 1 species